rnacentral:ncRNA from 1 species
ACAUCCCCGGGAAGCGAUGACGCUCGGACCGCGUGACGGUCGCCCGGCGGUCGCCCGGCACGGGCCCGCCGCAUCCGAGCCGAGCCAGUGGCGAGACCGGCCCGGAACGA